rnacentral:rRNA from 1 species
GACGAACGCUGGCGGCGUGCUUAACACAUGCAAGUCGAACGGAAAGGCCCUGCUUUUGUGGGGUGCUCGAGUGGCGAACGGGUGAGUAACACGUGAGUAACCUGCCCUUGACUUUGGGAUAACUUCAGGAAACUGGGGCUAAUACCGGAUAGGAGCUCCUGCUGCAUGGUGGGGGUUGGACAGUUUCGGCGGUUGGGGCUGGACUCGCGGCUUAUCAGCUUGUUGGUUGGGUAGUGGCAUACCAAGGCAUUGACGGGUAGCCGGCCUGAGAGGGUGACCAGCCACAAUGGGACUGCGAUACGGCGCAGAGUGCUACGGGAGGCAGCAGUGGGGAAUAUUGCACAAUGGGCGGGAGUGUGAUGCAGCGACGCCGCGUGCGUGAUGACGGUCUUCGGGUUGUAAACCGCUUUCGCCUGUGACGAAGCGUGAGUGACGGUAAUGGGUAAAGAAGCACCGGCUAACUACGUG